CCGAGUUUACAACUCCCAAACCCCUGUGAACAUACCCAUCGUUGCCUCGGCGGCGCCCCCCCGGGGGACCGCCAGAGGACCCCCAAACUCUUUGUUUUACGAAAAUGUGGUCGUUGCGAUUUUUCCUGCCGCGCGCAGUGAAGGAAAUCAAAUCA
rnacentral:misc_RNA from 1 species